rnacentral:rRNA from 1 species
UGUGACCUCAAAUCAGGUAGGACUACCCGCUGAACUUAAGCAUAUCAAUAAGCGGAGGAAAAGAAACUAACAAGGAUUCCCCUAGUAACUGCGAGUGAAGCGGGAAAAGCUCAAAUUUAAAAUCUGGCAGUCUUUGGCUGUCCGAGUUGUAAUCUAGAGAAGUGUUAUCCGCGCUGGACCGUGUACAAGUCUCCUGGAAUGGAGCGUCAUAGAGGGUGAGAAUCCCGUCUUUGACACGGACUACCAGGGCUUUGUGAUGCGCUCUCAAAGAGUCGAGUUGUUUGGGAAUGCAGCUCAAAAUGGGUGGUAAAUUCCAUCUAAAGCUAAAUAUUGGCGAGAGACCGAUAGCGAACAAGUACCGUGAGGGAAAGAUGAAAAGAACUUUGGAAAGAGAGUUAAACAGUACGUGAAAUUGCUGAAAGGGAAACGCUUGAAGUCAGUCGCGUUGUCCAGGGAUCAACCUUGCUUUUGCUUGGUGCACUUUCUGGUUGACGGGUCAGCAUCAAUUUUGACCAUUGGAAAAAGAUCAAGGGAAUGUGGCAUCUUUGGAUGUGUUAUAGCCCUUGGUUGCAUACGAUGGUUGGGAUUGAGGAACUCAGCACGCCGCAAGGCCGGGUUUUUAACCACGUACGUGCUAGGAUGC